rnacentral:lncRNA from 1 species
CACUCACAAGAUCAGCAACACACAAGAUCAAGUUCACCAAUAAUAAAGAAGUGCAAUGCAAUGAAAUGCAAUGUCAAGUAUAGUGAUGCAUGUCUGACCUAAUGAUACACACCCGCUGUCUCUCAGUCCGGGACCCAUGGGGGACAUAUCUGUCCAUGCAUCCAUCGCGGCGCGCGAUACGACCCUCGAUAAUAGUAACC